rnacentral:rRNA from 1 species
UAGGUCCCAAGGGUAUGGCUGUUCGCCAUUUAAAGUGGUACGCGAGCUGGGUUUAGAACGUCGUGAGACAGUUCGGUCCCUAUCUGCCGUGGGCGCUGGAGAACUGAGGGGGGCUGCUCCUAGUACGAGAGGACCGGAGUGGACGCAUCACUGGUGUUCGGGUUGUCAUGCCAAUGGCACUGCCCGGUAGCUAAAUGCGGAAGAGAUAAGUGCUGAAAGCAUCUAAGCACGAAACUUGCCCCGAGAUGAGUUCUCCCUGAGACUUAAAGUCUCCUGAAGGAACGUUGAAGACGACGACGUUGAUAGGCCGGGUGUGUAAGCGCAGCGAUGCGUUGAGCUAACCGGUACUAAUGAACCGUGAGGCUUAACCUUACAACGCCGAAG